UUAUGAUCUUUAAAUUCAAAGAAUUUGGCGGUAAUUAAGUCUUUUUAGAGGAACCUGUUCUGUAAUUGAUAAUCCACGAUUGAUUUUACUUUAAUUAUACUUGUAUAUCUCUGUCAUUGAAUGUAUUAUAAGGUUAUUUUCUUUUUUCCUAAACUGGAAAAAUGGCAAGUCAAGGUGCAGUUGUAUUAAAGUAGAAAUGGGUUACAAUUUUAUUUAUUGGAUUAAUAAUUGUAAAAGUAUUAUGAAAUUGGAUUUAAAUGUAAUUUUAAUUAGAUAAAUUAUUGUGAUUUUAGCUCUUAAUUAU
rnacentral:rRNA from 1 species